UUCGCAAUGCCCGAAAGGGUGACGAAGCGACGCCGCGUAGGUGAGGAAGGCCUUCGGGUUGUAAAGCCCUGUCGGGAGUUAAGAAAUGUAAGUGUGCUAAUAUCGCAUUUACUUGACGAAGGCUCCAAAGGAAGUCACGGCUAACUCUGUGCCAGCAGCCGCGGUAAUACAGAGGUGGCAAGCGUUGUUCGGAAUUAUUGGGCGUAAAGAGCACGUAGGUGGGUUUGUAAGUCAGAUGUGAAAGCCUCCUGUUCAACGGGAGAAUUGCAUCUGAAACUACUGAUCUUGAGUAUAGGAGGGGAGAAUGGAACUUCUGGUGGAGCGGUGAAAUGCGUAGAUAUCAGAAGGAACGCCGGCGGCGAAAGCGAUUCUCUGGCCUAUUACUGACACUCAGUGUGCGAAAGCUAGGGGAGCAAACGGGAUUAGAUACCCCGGUAGUCCUAGCCGUAAACGAUGGGCACUAAGUAGAGGGGUUUU
rnacentral:rRNA from 1 species